AUAAUUAAUGGCUCCAUCUGAGUAGUGAUUGUGCACUAGAUUUCUGCUUUCUUGAUUGCACAAAGCUUGAGCAAGUUUGGAUUUUAGAGUACCACAAGGAAUGAACAUCUGAUAUGGUCAUCACUGUUUCCUGCAGGAAGAUAACCAGAAUUGUAUGAGCCUCUGGUCUACAAAGCCUUCAUCUUCUCUGAUUUGUAAAGAAUGACCAGUUAUCAACGCCUUUAUCUGUUCUACCACUAAUCUGCCUAUUUGGAUCUCUUGCCACUGCAAACUCUAGAACUCCUGUACCUUAGAAACCUCUGCCCUACUGAUAGCAGCUUGCCUGUACGUUUCUGUUUUAAACUGCCUUCUCACUGAAGCCAACCAAAUGCCAGAGGACAAAAGAGGUUGACUGAAUUGGCCCACAGAGCUCAGCUUCCUGGGGACUGGAGGAUGGAAAACGUUGAAAGCAAAUUAGCCAUACGAUCCCUAUUAGCUAGAGAGAAGGACAUGUUUGCUUCACUUUCCACCGUGAGUGUAAGUUCCCAGAGGACCUCCCAGCAAUGCCAAACUGAGUGGAAAAUAUCAUGCAAUCUGACUGAAAUUCAGAUUAUCUUCAAACAGUUACGCUGAGACUACAAGGUAUACUGGGAAGAGAGAGCUCACUGUCUGAUCACUUACUCACCAGAAAUUUAACAUGUUGGAGAACAUCUUGUAUUAUUUGGAAUCUAUCCAUCAUUAAACAUAAAUGAGGAGACUGUGGUACACAAAUGUGGUAAUACCAAAUGGAUACAUGUAUUAAAGACACUGUAACCAUCUGGACUCAAUAUGGGACCCAGAAUGUUCCCAUUUAUCAAAUUAUAAUUCCCAUACGAUAUUUUAUAUCUGUAAUUCAAUGUUGAUGAAAACAUAAUUGUUUUCCAUUUGUCAGAGUGAUUUUCAGCAGUAAUGAAUUAAGUUAACACAUUUAUCAGAGAAGGAAAAGAUUGGUGUCCAAAAGAGAAUUUUACUAAAUUCUCUGGUUUUAAAGAAAGAGGAAGAACAGAGACAAAUAACAGUCACCA